UGAGGAAUAUUGGUCAAUGGACGCAAGUCUGAACCAGCCAUGCCGCGUGGAGGAUGAAGGCCUUCUGGGUUGUAAACUUCUUUUAUCUGGGAAGAAAAGCACGGUUUCUACUGUGUCCGACGGUACCAGAUGAAUAAGCACCGGCUAACUCCGUGCCAGCAGCCGCGGUAAUACGGAGGGUGCAAGCGUUAUCCGGAUUUACUGGGUUUAAAGGGUGUGUAGGCGGAUAUUUAAGUCAGAGGUGAAAUCUCCAGGCUCAACCUGGAAACUGCCUUUGAUACUAUUUAUCUUGAAUUUCGUUGAGGUUGGCAGAAUAUAUCAUGUAGCGGUGAAAUGCAUAGAUAUGAUAUAGAAUACCGAUUGCGUAGGCAGCUGGCUGAACGACGAUUGACGCUGAGGCACGAAAGCGUGGGUAGCGAACA
rnacentral:rRNA from 1 species